UACGUAGGUGGCAAGCGUUGUUCGGAAUUAUUGGGCGUAAAGGGCGCGUAGGCGGCAUGUUAAGUCGGCUGUGAAAGCCUGGGGCUCAACCCCAGAGGGUCGGCCGAUACUGGCAAGCUAGAGUACGGAAGAGGUAGCUGGAAUUCCCGGUGUAGCGGUGAAAUGCGCAGAUAUCAGGAGGAACACCGAUGGCGAAGGCAGGUCUCUGGGCAUUAACUGACGCUGAGGAGCGAAAGCAUGGGGAGCGAACAGG
rnacentral:rRNA from 1 species